rnacentral:rRNA from 1 species
ACACGCAUGACACACUGCAUAUCAAUAAGCGGAGGAAAAGAAACUAACAAGGAUUCCCUUAGUAACGGCGAGUGAAGCGGGAAGAGCUCAAAUUUGAAAUCUUCAAGGUUCUACCUUGACGAAUUGUAGUUUAUAAGAAGUGUUUUCUGUUAGUAAGUUGGCUAAAGUUCUUUGGAAUAGGACAUCAUAGAGGGUGAGAAUCCCGUAUUUGGUCAUUCUUUCUAGCUGUGUGAUACACUUUCAACGAGUCGGAUUGUUUGGGAAUGCAGUCCAAAAUGGGUGGUAAAUUUCAUCUAAAGCUAAAUAUUGGCGAGAGACCGAUAGCGAACAAGUACCGUGAGGGAAAGAUGAAAAGAACUUUGAAAAGAGAGUUAAACAGUACGUGAAAUUGUCAAAAGGGAAGCGUUUGACACCAGUGUUGUUUUUCCGAAAAUCAAUUACGAAUGGUUUGAUUUUGAGAAGUUCAUGACCUUCAUACGCUUGCUUCUCUCUUUUACUGAUCUUUCGUAAUGCACUUUUCGGUUAACAAGUCAACAUCAAUUUCUUUUGUUGUAAAAGGGUAAUGAGGAAGGUGGCUUUACUUUCGGAGUAAAGUGUUUAUAGCCUUUUACCUCUGCAAUCGGAGAGAUUGAGGUCUGCAGCGUAGAUCCUUCGGGGUUAGAUACAUUUGUGCUAAGUUAUAGCUUUUCAUAGACAACUUGUUGACUAUGUUAAGUCUUGUACUUACUCGCAGUAUGCUAUUUUACCUACGCUUAGGAUGUUGACUGAUAUGUAGUCGUA